UUUUUUUUUUUUUUUUUUUUGCCUUUUUGCCUUAUUUUUUUCAAUUAUUUUUUUAAAAUUUCACCUUCAUAACUCACACCUCUUCAUUUUCAUAACCCUCAAAUGCUUAAUGUGUGCAUUUAUGACACCUUAUUGUGCUCCCUCAUAUUCAUUUCAUCAGAAGUUACCUAUUUAUCAAGGACAGAGUGCUGGCUUACAGUAAAAGUAUUCUAACUCCCUAUAAUUUUCACAUUCAUGAUCUUUGUAAAAACUUAUUCAUAGACAGGAUAGCUCUGGUGGUAAUAAGUUGCAUUUGAUGAUAUACGUGUCUGUUUAUCCAGAAAAAGUUGGGUUCGAUGAAGCAUUGACACUAAUAUGUAGCACCGGUACUUUCUACAUGAUAAUUUAUUUGAAAUAGUAUGUAUCCCAUCUCUAAUCUAUCAUUGAGUAUCUUUUGUUCAUAUGAUCUUAUAUGAUCUGUUCAUUUAGUACAAUACAUCCUUUUCUUUGCAUUUAAAUGUACAUAUUUUGAUAGAAAGGAUAGAUAAGAGGACUUACGUUAUAUAUAUAAGAUGAAGGUUAGCUUCUUUUCCCCAAUUAAGAUGAUUGUCCCCUGUCAUUGUAAAACCACAAAAGGUUUCCCACAUCCUGGCUUCGAAUAGGCCGUAUCGCAGAGAUAGAAAGGAAGACCAGUAGAAGAUGUUGUUGCUGCUAACAAGGGCUUCAAAUCAAGGGUUCAAAUACGUGUGCUUUCUUCAUAUGAAUUCCAGGAUGUCAAAGAAAUGCAAGCAAAUCUAUUUUUUCUAUUUCAUCUAGAUUUAAUUUCAAAAUAGAUUAGUAUUUUGUAAACAUAAUUUAUAGUCUCAGAUGUACUAGCACUGCAUCUUUGAUGCAGCCAUCGAUUUUCCGAGCGUUCACAAUUGCUGCGAGCAAAGAUAUUUAUGACAAAGAUUUAUUGAUUUCCUUC